UCCAAUUUCCAACUAAAGAGGAUUAUUCAUUUAAAAUUGAUGCUACUUGGUAACACUUCUCCAUGUUUUUACCUCUAAACCCUCUCCAAGACGCAUCCAUUUUGUCAAGAACUUCAGUUGCAUGUUCGCUUCUGAAAAUCAGGUAACCCUCAUUUCGAUCAUUUACAGAUAAUUCUUAUUUAGCCUACUUGUAUGAUAGAGGCUGCUCGUAGCUUGGAAUUUUAAACACUGAUACAGACCAAAGAUAAAGAUGAACUGCAGGGGAAAAAAAAUUCUUGAAUUUUAAUUUGUUUAUUCCCAGGAAAAUCACAUCUGUGCAAGUUUUGCCAGUAUAACCAUGUCUAAUAUCUUAACAUCAAGAGUGUCCUCCAACUUUACAAUUCCAUCAGUGCCAUCAAC
rnacentral:lncRNA from 1 species